AUACGGGGGGUGCUAGCGUUGUUCGGAAUUACUGGGCGUAAAGGGCGCGUAGGCGGCUCUGCGAGUCGGGCGUGAAAUCCCGGGGCUCAACCCCGGAACGGCGCUCGAUACUGCGGGGCUGGAGACCGGAAGAGGAGGGUGGAAUUCCCAGUGUAGAGGUGAAAUUCGUAGAUAUUGGGAGGAACACCGGUGGCGAAAGCGGCUCUCUGGUCCGGUUCUGACGCUGAGGCGCGAAAGCGUGGGGAGCAAACAGGAUUAGAUACCCUAGUAGUCC
rnacentral:rRNA from 1 species